rnacentral:lncRNA from 1 species
AAAGUAGGCCUACGUGGAGCCGACCUGCCAUUGGAUACUUCUCCCCUGGACCUUGUUCCCAGGCUCCGUGUGAAGCUGAACACUCCGCAUGAUCUCCCUGCCACCAUAGCAAGCUAUGAAGUUCAUUACACAUGCAGGUAGCAGACAAUACAGCUCUGCUUCCAUUUCUGAGCACCUACGGUAGACUGCCAUUAUUCAGUGUGCCAGCCUGUUUCCAAGCCUACAAUGUAUAGUUCCUCUAGUACGUAAACUCAUUUUUUUUCUCAGAGAGCCAAGUAGAGACACAGGCAGUUUUCUUCUCAAAAUGUGCCAGAAAUUCCAAAACAAUCUCAAAGCAUUAAAGGCUAUGUGCACAAAGU